rnacentral:rRNA from 1 species
UAAGCGAAAACCUGAAGCAGCCUAUAGGUAUCCCAAGUAGGGCCGCACACGUGAAACGUGGUCUGAAUCUGGGGGGCCCACCCUCCAAGGCUAAAUACUCGCCAGUGACCGAUAGUGAACCAGUACCGUGAGGGAAAGGUGAAAAGAACCCCGGGAGGGGAGUGAAAUAGAACCUGAAAUCAUGCGUCUACAAACUGUGGGAGCCUUACGGGGCGACCGCAUGCCUUUUGCAUAAUGAGCCUGCGACUUACUUUGUACGGCAAGGUUAAGCUUUAUAGUGAAGCCGAAGCGAAAGCGAGUGUGAAUAGCGCGUUUUAGUCGUGCGGAGUAGACCCGAAACCGAGUGAUCUACCCAUGGGCAGGAUGAACCUCUGGUAACACAGAGUGGAGGUCCGAACCAUUGCGUGUUGAAAAACGCUUGGAUGACCUGUGGGUAGGGGUGAAAGGCCAAUCAAACUCGGUGAUAGCUGGUUCUUUCCGAAAUAGCUUGAGGGCUAGCCUCAAAUAAGAUAGCGCACGGGGGUAGAGCACUGAUUAUUCGCGGGUCCUUACCAGGAUACCAACAAUUGUCAAACUCCGAAUACCGUGUUGCCGUAACUUGGGAGUCAGACUGUGGGGGAUAAGCUUCAUAGUCGAAAGGGAAACAGCCCAGACCGCCGGCUAAGGUCCCUAAUUUGGACUAAGUGGUACUAAGGAGGUGGAAUUGCAUAGACAGCCAGGAUGUUGGCUUAGAGGCAGCCAUCAUUUAAAGAGUGCGUAAUAGCUCACUGGUCGAGUGAUUCUGCGCCGAAGAUGAUCGGGACUAAGUCCAAAACCGAAGCCGCGGAUAUCAUUUCUUCGGAAAUGAUAUGGUAGGAAAGCGUUGUGUACUGGGUUGAAGCGGGAAGGUAACUGACCGUGGACUGUACACAAGUGACCAUGCAGGCAUGAGUAGCGAAAAACCAGGUGAGAAUCCUGGUCACCGAAAGCCUAAGGUUUCCUGGGGAAGGUUCGUCCGCCCAGGGUUAGUCGGAUCCUAAGGCGAGGCCGAAAGGCGUAGUCGAUGGAUAACAGGUUAAUAUUCCUGUACCGAAUGGUUUUAGCGAUGGAGGGACGCAGUAUGCUAGGCGACCCGGCGAUUGGAAGUGCCGGGCUAAGGCUGCAGGGUGUCGGGUAGGCAAAUCCGCCCGGCGUGAAGCCCGAGAGCUGAUGGGACCGAGAGUCUUCGGACAAUUGGGAUUCGCUGAUGCUAUGCUGCCAAGAAAAGCUUCUAAGCGUUUGACGACCAUUCGUCCGUACCGCAAACCGACACAGGCAGGCAAGGCGAGAAGCCUCAGGUGCGCGAGAGAAACCACGUUAAGGAACUCGGCAAAUUAGCCCCGUAACUUCGGGAGAAGGGGUGCCCCAUUAGGGUGAAGGCCUUCGCGGCUGGAGCUCGAGGGGGUCGCAGCGAAGCGGCCCAGGCGACUGUUUAGCAAAAACACAGCACUCUGCUAACUCGCAAGAGGAUGUAUAGGGUGUGACACGUGACCAAUGCCGAAAUGUCAAAGGGAUCUGUUAUCCUUCGGGAGAAGCGGUGAACUGAAGCACCGGUGAAUGUCGGCCGUAACUAUAACGGUCCUAAGGUAGCGAAAUUCCUUGUCGGGUAAGUUCCGACCCGCACGAAUCGUGUAACGAUCUGGGCACUGUCUCAACGUGGUUCUCGGCGAAGUUGUAAGUCCGGUGAAAAUGCCGGAUACCCGCAGUAGGACGGAAAGACCCCGUGAACCUUUACUGUAAUUUGAUAUUGGCGUUUGGUUUUUGAUGUGUAGGAUAGGUGGGAGCCUUUGAAGCGGUGUCGUCAGGCAUCGUGGAGGCAACCUUGAAAUACCACCCUUUAACGGUUGAGCGUCUAACCUGUUUCCGUCAUCCGGAGCAGGGACAUUGUCAGAGGGUCAGUUUGACUGGGGCGGUUUCCUCCCAAAGCGUAACGGAGGAGUUCAAAGGUGUACUCAGCAUGGUUGGCAAUCAUGCGUGGAGCGUAAGGGUAUAAGUGCGCCUUACUGCGAGACCGACGGGUCGAGCAGUUGCGAAAGCAGGACCUAGUGAUCCAGCGGUGGAAUGUGGCAUCGCCGUUGCUCAUCGGAUAAAAGGUACUCCGGGGAUAACAGGCUAAUACUGCCCAAGCGUCCAUAGCGACGGCAGUGUUUGGCACCUCGAUGUCGGCUCAUCACAUCCUGG